rnacentral:misc_RNA from 1 species
CACUCCGGCGGUGACAAUCAAGGAGCCACGCGGGGUUAUCGUUCAGAUGCUCGACCGACUGACGGAAAGCCGGUUGCAGCGUGAAGCCCGCAGGGCGCGAUUUGAGNUAUACCGAGGCGGACAUCACGCCCCACCGGAUGAGACGGGAAUAAUCCCGACAAUUGAGCGCAAGGUUUCAGCGCCGUUGCAUCAAGAGGCUGCUCCAGCCUUCGAUCUGAAUUUGCUUGAGCAGCUUCAAUCCUGCGCCGCGAUAGGCGGCGACCACGCUGCUCG